ACAAGUUACAACCGUGGUGAGCAGAAAGGCAUCUCAAAAAGUGGAAAGUUUGAGCUUUAUGCUUGUUUGUUUGUUUGUUUGUUUGUUUUUCGAUGACAUGGCACACUGCUUUUCUUUUUGUCUUGUUAACUUCGAGAGAGAAGAGAGAGAGGUUGGCGAGGGAACAACUGUUUAUAGGUACUGCAAUGUAUGUAAUAACAGGAACUGACUUGCUUUCCAGACAUUUCACAGCACUAAAUGUUCCACGACUAUUCCUUUUCAGUUGCGGCGUUUCAAGAAUCGAUUUGUAUGGAAUUAAUCAAAAGACGGCACACGGCACCAUCCCGAGGACCUAAGUAGUACAAAUCGAGGCACUACUGUACAGGUUGCGGUUCUGUGCUAAUGACUGGAAGGUUGUGAGUUUAAAUCCCAGGACUCCAAGAGACCCACAAGUUCUAUCCUUCGAUGGUUCAGCCGAAUUCUCUGAUUAUAAACGACAAAAUGGAGCCUUGGUGUGUUUUCCCACACAGUGCAGUUCUUUAGGCAGGUAAGAACACAGCAGUCACGGUCGGGACCGUGAGCGAGGUGGGCUCGGUCGGCUUCCAAGUGAAUUAUAGUUUAUUUCCCCUCAUUUCUCCACCGUACACAUCCCUCACCAUGCUCUUCUGUUCCUUCUAGAUGGCUUCGUGGAUCCCUGGAGGAG